CGAUGUGACAUCCACAGAGGAACAGAGCAAGGUUCUAUGAGGGAACAUGGACCAAUCCCGUACCCAUGGCAGGUGCCUAUGACAACAAACCAAGACAAAGCUGGGCUUCCCUUCCAUACGGGGCCUCUGGCAUACUGUAGAUGCUUCUGGAACCACCACUGCCCUGACCACCUGCUGAGAGGUCCUGUGCCCAUGCUGGACAUCAGCAAGCAUUUCCUCUCACACAGAUCUAAACAUCCAUCGUGGGUUCAUAUUAAGCCACCUUUGUCUAAGCGUCAUCUCCUCAGAGAUACCUCACGGCCUCCUAAUCUCUAACACUUUGUGGACUUCUUCCUGCUCAGCCAUUCCUCAAGCCCUUCACAUCGCUCAUGACUACAGCAGCCCUCCACCCAUGGACUCCACAUUCACAGAGUCCACCAAUCACCGGCCAGAUCAGAAGAGAACAUGUCUAAGUGAACACUGACAAACAUUUCCAUCACCAUCUUUCCCUAAACCCUCACGAGUAAUCAUGGGUGCAGUGAGAAUCAAAUUCUUUGGGAUGUUGUGGUUCAGAUAUAAAAGAAC
rnacentral:lncRNA from 1 species